rnacentral:tRNA from 2 species
AGGCUUGUAGCUCAGUUUGGUAAGAGCACACCCCUGAUAAGGGUGAGGUCGGUGGUUCAACUCCACUCAAGCCUA